UUGAUAUAAUACUCCAUUUUCCAAAAAAGAGGUGCAGUGUGGGCAGUACGAGAGCAAGCUUCCCUACACUGCCCUGUUGAUUUGCUUCAAUCCUGCUCUUGGAAGUCUGCCUUUAAAAAGAAAUGAGUAGGCAAUCUUCGCUUUUUUUAUCUC
rnacentral:sRNA from 1 species